ACGUGGGGGUCUUCAUCAGAUACCUCUCAUUUAUCAUCAUCAUCGAUCUUGUGUGUGAUCAAUGUGUGCUUUUCUUUCAGCGGGCAGCACGGCUAUAGAGGCUGCCUGGGCCGGGGGGAAGAGGUGACCGACAGGUUUCUGUCUGUGGUAGCACAGUUGCUCUCCAGCAAAGGGUUAUUCUACCUCAUUACUAUAGCAGACAACGAUCCAGAGGAGAUUAUCCGUUUACUGGACAUGUGGUUUGAGGGGAGAGUCGUGCUUGUCGACCAGAGCUGGAAAUGAGAGGCUGUCCAUCCUGCGCUUCCAUAGGAGCUAACAAACAUGGAACUGUCACUUAGAAAUCUGCUGAAAGCAUUACAGGAACUGAUGAGAAGAAAUGUUUUCAGCAUAUAAUUUUUUUACUGACUGGACACUACUGUCUGUGAGGACAAAUGUUUACUGCAGAAUCCUCAGACAUCUGUUGUGAAGAACUUUCUUAUUAAAGCUCUGCAGAACAAAGACACUUUUCUUUGCAAGAAAUUGGUGAAA